rnacentral:rRNA from 1 species
GAUGAACGCUGGCGGCGUGCCUAAUACAUGCAAGUCGAGCGAACAGAUGAGGAGCUUGCUCCUCUGACGUUAGCGGCGGACGGGUGAGUAACACGUGGAUAACCUACCUAUAAGACUGGGAUAACUUCGGGAAACCGGAGCUAAUACCGGAUAAUAUAUUGAACCGCAUGGUUCAAUAGUGAAAGACGGUUUUGCUGUCACUUAUAGAUGGAUCCGCGCCGCAUUAGCUAGUUGGUAAGGUAACGGCUUACCAAGGCAACGAUGCGUAGCCGACCUGAGAGGGUGAUAGGCCACACUGGAACUGGGACACGGUCCAGACUCCUACGGGAGGCAGCAGUAGGGAAUCUUCCGCAAUGGGCGAAAGCCUGACGGAGCAACGCCGCGUGAGUGAUGAAGGUCUUCGGAUCGUAAAACUCUGUUAUUAGGGAAGAACAAAUGUGUAAGUAACUAUGCACGUCUUGACGGUACCUAAUCAGAAAGCCACGGCUAACUACGUG